GCUCCUUCGGGGAUUUUGAGUUUCUUUAUAGGAUGGGCAUUGGAGGGAACGAAACAGAGUGAGGAAAGAAUGACCUUUCAGCAGGGAACUCAUUUUUCAGAUGCACAACUCAAAUAUAUAGUCAGGAUCCUCUUGGAUGGCCCCAGAUACUGGCAUUUAAAAGGGAUUGGUCAUGAUAAUAAAAAUGCUGCCUAAUGCAGCAUAGAUUCUUGAAGGACAACCUUAUGGUAAUUCUCAGCUAGAACAUGGGAAGAUGUUGGAACCUCUCCUUUCACUGGGGAUCUGUUACGAUCACCUCGGCAUUUUUAUCAACAGAAUACAAUGAAUAAAACUGAGUAAAAUCUAGGAUUGCAGCUUUCUCAGUACAUUGGUGACCACUGGCUCCCAUGUCAUCACUCCUUGUUUCAUCAAGAAUGUGGUUUUUCAGAGCUGGCCUUCUCAGAAAAUUUAUAAAAUUGGAGAACCUCAUCGCUGCAUCAUUGGGUUCAUAUCUCUCACUUACAACCGCAGAAACUGGGAUUCACAGAAAGUCAGGAACCGCAUGGCCAGAGUCAGAGGCCAUAGCUCUCUGCACACUUAGUCACGUGAUCCUGCUCAUCAGAGGCCAAACCGUGAGCCAAAGGACAUGAUGAUCAGCACUCGCUGCUGGUUAACACUUCACUGUCUACUUGCAUGCCUGUCAAUAUCUAUCUUUUUCCAAGAACUCAGAACACAAUAUACCUUAAAUCUCCAUCAACAUUUUGAUCAACUGGAGGUAAAAGAUACGGGAAUGUUCUUCCAUAUUACACUUGUUGAUAGAUACAAGAAAAAGAGUUGGGAUGCACACAUUCUAGGUAAAGCUUGGAAAGUCCAAUGUAUUCCUAAUAAAACAUAAUUUAAAUUUAUGUGACAUAAUAAUGGUACUAUGCUGAUAUAGUUAAGAUUUUAGAUCAAAUAUUUUAAAAUUCAACUAGAAAUAAAAAUCUUCAGGAAACGAUAAAUUGGGAGUGAGAUUUGUAGAUACUAAGUGCUAUGCAUGAAACAGAUACACAACAAGGUCCUACUGCACAGCACAGGGAACUGUA